CCCUUAGAUGUCCUGGGCCGCACGCGUGCUACACUGACGCCUACAGCGAGUACUUCCCAGCCCCGAGAGGCGGCUGGUAAUCAGCAAUAGGCGUCGUGAUGGGGAUAGAUCUUUGGAAUUAUGGAUCUUGAACGAGGAAUGCCUAGUAAGCGCAGGUCAUUAGCCUGCGCUGAUUACGUCCCUGCCCUUUGUACACACCGCCCGUCGCUACUACCGAUUUCGAGUGGUCCGGUGAAGCUUUUGGACUGCGCGUGACUUCGUGCCGUGUCGCGGAAAGUCAGCUAAACCUUAUCACUUAGAGGAAGUAAAAGUCGUANCA
rnacentral:rRNA from 1 species